GGAAAGGUUAUAUAACUGGAAAUAUAACAAAUGGAAGUAGGACACAGAAAACACCCUGUUGGUGAGGAGCCUAAGACCUCGUGACAAGACGUAUAAAUGGUGGAGCCAGAUGAAACCCAGGUCGUUCGAUCCCUAAGCAUAAACUUGACGCAGGGUGAAUAUUCAGAAGAUGGAACAACCACCCAGCUCAAGCUGCCCCAAGGAAGGACCAAACAUGUGAACAGACAGAUGAAGCAAAGACAAUCUGGGCUGAAAACCUGCGUGCCGCCACCAAGUAAGCCAGCGUACCCGACUGCUUCGAGUUUACAUAACCUUGAGCAAGUCAGACCUGUAGUAAAGAAUAAAACAGCUAAAAACCAAAGCCGUUCGUGCUGGGGGCUUGUGCUUCCCAACGUCCCAGGGAAGCAGCCUGUGAAAGCCUUGCACUGCCGGCCUGUACACAGCUGCCCAGAGAAUUUGCAGACAACAAAGGCCUCUGAUCUUCCCCCCCAGGCUGUUAGCUUUAAGUGAAACCUGGGUAAGAAGGUUCUCUUUGGUGACUCUUGACAACUAAAGGACGCUGUAAGCAGUGUUUUGAUCCCUCAGCAAAACUAUGAAAUGUUUUCUCUUCUGUGGAAAUAUCUUUUCCAGUGACAUUUCAACAAAUGAACAAGGGCAACUGCAGACUGUGUAUUUUCUUUCCACCUUAAAACAAAUGCAGAAACAACUGUUGUUCUUUUCCACUUCAUUAGGCUAAACAGACUUGAUAGAAGACUGGCCUUUCCUGCUACUGAGUAAUCCCCAGUAAUAUGAAUACAGCCACCAAAGAACUAAUAGUUGCUAAUUAUCUCCCUCAAUUAGCUUUCCUGUCAACCAUCUUUAACUUGGGCUCCCCUGGUGGGUAGGAAAAUCUAUACAGUGUGGCUAAUCAGUGGGGCCCUCUGUAACCUCCCCCCCCGCCCCCACAAAUCACUUGAUAGGCAAAGUCCAGUCCUGUCUUUGACCAACAGGUUUUAGGAACCCCACAGUGAGAAUGUAGGGUGCAAGGCGAAGAGGGGGCAGAGUUUUGGCAGAAGACUCCAUGACAGACACAAAAUGGAUGCUUGUAGGAGCCAGCUCUUGGGGAGAGGGCAGGUUAGGGUGUUGAAUACAGCACCCUCUCUUUAUGCUAGUAGUUCUCAACUCGAGGAAAAUACAGCAGUUAUUGCAAGGAAUCCCACACAGUGCUCACAAGACCCAAAGUCCCCGAUGGCUUUCAACAAGGCAUUUUUGGAGGCCAGGUGAGGGAGGGAUAUCCCACAGUGUGUGAUCAGCUUGUGAGCAGUUCUCUGAUGAGUUGAUAGUGAAGUAACAGGGCGGUGUCACAGGGGUUAACAUUAUCAGACCUUAGGCUCCAGGGGGCUUCCAUGGUGGCUCAGUGGUAAAGAAUCCACCUGCAUUGCAGGAGACACUGGUUUGAUCCCUGGAUCAAGAAGAUUCCUUGGGGAAGGAAACGGCAACCCGCUCAGGUAUUCUUGCCUAACAGUUCCAUGGACAGAGGAACCUGGAGGGCUAUAGUCCAUGGGGUCGCAAAGAAUUGGACGUGACUGAAGCAACUUAGCAUGCACGCAGGUUCUAGCCUGAAAAACAGCUCAGAAAAUGUGCAUCAGAUUCAGUAAUCUAAGUACUCCAGAGAGGAGCUAAAGCAGAGGAUACGGGGGAGGGGUCUGUCUCAUGAAUGCCCCAUGGGGUCCUGCUGGGUUACAGACAGAGACAUUUCCAUCACGCCAGAAAGCCGUUUUGGACAGCACUAUUUAACCAGAGAAUUUAUAGAGCCAUUCUCAUGCUUAAAAACCACUGUUCUCACCCCACUGCCUCUAGGAUCAAUUUCCACCCAGUUAGCCUGAGGUGCUUUGCUAUCCAAGCCCAGCUGUCUCUUUAGAACCUCUUCUCCCCCUCCGCCUCCUCUGUACAGCUCACCACGUCAUAGGAGAGACUGCUGCAUUGUCUCUCUCCAGAUAUUUGCCCCUGUUGUUUUCUUUGCCAUAAAUGCCCUUUCUCUACCUUCUUCAGUUACAAAAGUCAUAGUUGAUCCUUGGGUUCGGUACAAACCUCCCUCCAACCCCCCUUACCAGUCCAGCCCUCUGGAGCCCAAAUAACCGCUCCAUUCCCUGUUGCCCCUCAACAGUUAUUACCUGUCUGUGCCAUACUUGCCACCUAUCAUAAGUGGCUAUUUCCAUGGGUUUCUCCUGUGCCUAACUCUGAGCUCCUUAAGGUUGAGGGUGGCCUCGUUCCUCUUUGCAUCACCAGAGGCUCGCACAAGGUGGGCAGUCCCAUUUCAAAUGAGACAGUUCAUCAGCUAGCUAAUGAAUGAAGUAGCCCGGAUAGACACAUUUCACACUACAGAAUUCCAACAACCCACAUGUCCACGAAAUUGAUGUCAUCUCCUUGGGGUAAGAUCAUUUGCCUUCUAUUUGCAGAGCAGAAUGCAUAUAUCUGGUGCCUAGAAGGCUCUUUACUGGGAUCAAAGAUGAAUGCAUUUAAAGGUUAUAUCUGAUGGGUCGAUAGUCACAAAGAAUAAGAAAGAAUAUAAAGAGGAAAUUUAUUAUUCCCUUACAUGGAUUUCAUCUCUUGUGUCAGUUAAACAGAAAUAUCUUGAGAGGAAGAACAUUUAAACAGAGGAAAAAACAGCAAAGAACCAGCUUAGCAUUAUUGCUACACAGUGCUUCUUCUUUGACAUAUUCUUGACUCUCUGAAGGGUAGUUUGUCAACAUUGCCAAAUGUAAAGUUGAAUCUUGCACUUUCCUUUUCUUUCCCUUGGCACAUAACACAGUUUGCAGCCCACCGCUGGUGCUCAGCUCACCCACCUCCUCUUGGAAGCCUUCCUUGAUUCCCCCCGACUGGUUUUACCCCCCUUUAGUGAUCCCUCAGCACCAUGCACAGUGCUUCAUAAUGCCCUUACCACAUUGUAUUACUUACUGUCUGCUCAACGAGACCAUGUUCUUCCUGAGAUUAGAAACUGUAUCUUAUUCUGCUUUGCAUCUUCAUGGCCCAUUAGAGUGACUGUCACCACAAAUAAAACUUUGUUAAAUAAAUAAACCUUGGGCAGCGGGAAGUCCAGGUUUUAAUGGAGAACAACAGCCUUUCUUUGCAAUGGUAAGUAGCGGGAACUUUUAGAAUUUGGAAUGAAAAGUGGGGAAAUGUGUCUACAAAUGAAUCUAUUUGGAUGAAAAAAAGAAACCUUUGGUGUUACAGGGCCUAAGUAAAGGCACAAUAAUCAUUAAAUGAUUCUAGAGAAUAGAGAGUUCUAGAUAAAGACUUGCAAGAUUCCUUUUAAACCUGUUGAUUUUGCGCCAGUGAAUAAAUAUUGAAGUCUUAGUAUAAGCAAAUAAGAGUGCCAAAAAAGAAAGGAACAAGAAAAUGCUUCUGCCAAUUCACAUUUCAUAAUCCUGUGACCUUAUGAUUCUGAACACCUACAUAAGGUAUUUUUAAACCUUG
ensembl:lincRNA